rnacentral:rRNA from 1 species
GUAGGUGGCAAGCGUUGUCCGGGAAUUAUUGGGGCGUAAAGCGCGCGCAGGCGGUCCUUUAAGGUCUGAUGUGAAAGCCCACGGGCUCAACCGUGGAGGGUCAUUGGAAACUGAGGGACUUGAGUACAGAAGAGGAAAGCGGAAUUCCACGUGUAGCGGUGAAAUGCGUAGAGAUGUGGAGGAACACCAGUGGCGAAGGCGGCUUUCUGGUCUGUAACUGACGCUGAGGCGCGAAAGCGUGGGGAGCAAACAGGAUUAGAUACCCUGGUAGUCCACGCCGUAAACGAUGAGUGCUAAGUGUUAGGGGGUUUCCGCCCCUUAGUGCUGCAGCUAACGCAUUAAGCACUCCGCCUGGGGAGUACGACCGCAAAGGUUGA